rnacentral:misc_RNA from 1 species
GAUGAAGAACGUAGUGAAAUGCGAUACGUAAUGUGAAUUGCAGAAUUCAGUGAAUCAUCGAAUCUUUGAACGCACAUUGCGCCCUCUGGUAUUCCGGGGGGCAUGCCUGUUCGAGCGUCAUUAUAACCACUCAAGCUCUCGCUUGGUAUUGGGGUUCGCGGUUUCGCGGCCCCUAAAAUCAGUGGCGGUGCCUGUCGGCUCUACGCGUAGUAAUACUCCUCGCGAUUGAGUCCGGUAGGUCUACUUGCCAGCAACCCCUAAUUUUUUUAAGGUUGACCUCGGAUCAGGUAGGGAUACCCGCUGAACUUAAGCAUAUCAAUAAGCGGAGGA